UCAGACAGUCCAAGGAGAUGCGCCGGCAAAGCUGUAUUUCCAAGAGCUGCAAACGGUUGAAUGUGGCCGGAGCAGAAUGCUUCAGAAUCCCGGGAGAGGCUGUUGAAGAGUGGUUUGGACUGGGACGCCUGGCUGACUCAGUCGUGGGACUCUUGAUCACUCCAUACCCAGUUUGGAGCCCAGUGUGGGGCUUGAACUCACCACCCUCUGAUCAAGACCCGAGCUGAGAUCAAGAGUCGGAUGCUUCACCCUCGGAGCCACUCAAGUGUCCCAGUACUUUUGUUUCCUUUGAAUA